rnacentral:rRNA from 1 species
AGUUUGAUCCUGGCUCAGAUUGAACGCUGGCGGCAUGCCUUACACAUGCAAGUCGAACGGCGGCACGGGGGCAACCCUGGUGGCGAGUGGCGAACGGGUGAGUAAUAUAUCGGAACGUGCCAAGUAGUGGGGGAUAACUAGUCGAAAGAUUAGCUAAUACCGCAUACGCUCUACGGAGGAAAGUGGGGGAUCGCAAGACCUCAUGCUAUUUGAGCGGCCGAUAUCUGAUUAGCUAGUUGGUGGGGUAAAAGCCUACCAAGGCGACGAUCAGUAGCUGGUCUGAGAGGACGACCAGCCACACUGGGACUGAGACACGGCCCAGACUCCUACGGGAGGCAGCAGUGGGGAAUUUUGGACAAUGGGGGCAACCCUGAUCCAGCAAUGCCGCGUGAGUGAAGAAGGCCUUCGGGUUGUAAAGCUCUUUUGUCAGGGAAGAAUCGCGCCAAGCUAAUACCUUGGGUGUAAUGACGGUACCUGAAGAAUAAGCACCGGCUAACUACGUGCCAGCAGCCGCGGUAAUACGUAGGGUGCAAGCGUUAAUCGGAAUUACUGGGCGUAAAGCGUGCGCAGGCGGUUGUGCAAGACAGAUGUGAAAUCCCCGGGCUUAACCUGGGAAUUGCAUUUGUGACUGCACGGCUAGAGUGUGUCAGAGGGGGGUAGAAUUCCACGUGUAGCAGUGAAAUGCGUAGAUAUGUGGAGGAAUACCGAUGGCGAAGGCAGCCCCCUGGGAUAACACUGACGCUCAUGCACGAAAGCGUGGGGAGCAAACAGGAUUAGAUACCCUGGUAGUCCACGCCCUAAACGAUGUCUACUAGUUGUCGGGUCUUAAUUGGCUUGGUAACGCAGCUAACGCGUGAAGUAGACCGCCUGGGGAGUACGGUCGCAAGAUUAAAACUCAAAGGAAUUGACGGGGACCCGCACAAGCGGUGGAUGAUGUGGAUUAAUUCGAUGCAACGCGAAAAACCUUACCUACCCUUGACAUGUACGGAACCCUGCUGAAAGGUGGGGGGUGCUCGAAAGAAGAGCCGUAACACCAGGUGCUGCAUGGCUGUCGUCAGCUCGUGUCGUGAGAUGUUGGGUUAAGUCCCGCAACGAGCGCAACCCUUGUCAUUAGUUGCUACGAAAGGGCACUCUAAUGAGACUGCCGGUGACAAACCGGAGGAAGGUGGGGAUGACGUCAAGUCCUCAUGGCCCUUAUGGGUAGGGCUUCACACGUCAUACAAUGGUACAUACAGAGGGCCGCCAACCCGCGAGGGGGAGCUAAUCCCAGAAAGUGUAUCGUAGUCCGGAUUGUAGUCUGCAACUCGACUACAUGAAGUUGGAAUCGCUAGUAAUCGCGGAUCAGCAUGUCGCGGUGAAUACGUUCCCGGGUCUUGUACACACCGCCCGUCACACCAUGGGAGCACUUUCACCAGAAGUAGGUAGCUUAACCGUAAGGAGGGCGCUUACCACGGUGGGAUUCGUGACUGGGG